rnacentral:rRNA from 1 species
CCUACGGGAGGCAGCAGUGAGGAAUAUUGGUCAAUGGACGCAAGUCUGAACCAGCCAUGCCGCGUGCAGGAAGACGGCUCUAUGAGUUUUAAACUGCUUUUGUACGAGAGUAAACGCAGAUACGUGUAUCUGUAUGACAGUAUCGUACGAUUCAGGAUCGGCUAACUCCGUGCCAGCAGCCGCGGUAAUACGGAGGAAUCAAGCGUUAUCAGGAUGUAUUGGGUUUAAAGGGUGUGUAGGCGGUCGGAUAAGUUAGAGGUGAAAUCCCGAGGCUCAACUUCGGAAUUGCCUCUGAUACUGUUCGGCUAGAGAGUAGUUGCGGUAGGCGGAAUGUAUGGUGUAGCGGUGAAAUGCUUAGAGAUCAUACAGAACACCGAUUGCGAAGGCAGCUUACCAAGCUACUUCUGACGUUGAGGCACGAAAGCGUGGGGAGCAAACAGGAUUAGAUACCCUGGUAGUC